AGUCACCUCAAUCACCACACUUGCCAUUGUGAUUUUACAUGGUUAGUGUUAUUUCUUACAGGUAAUGCUGUUUUGUCCGGAAAGUUGCUGACCUUGUAGCCCAGCCAAUAUUUUGGUGAAGAAGUAGAAGUUCCUGGAUGAAGAGUCUUGGUCAGGAGGUUCUCCUCCACGUGGUAAUCCAUGGAUCCAGUCUCCAACCAACUCAUGGCUGUAUAUCUGUCUGGCUGGUAAACAAAAAGAAAGAACAUGCAGAAUGCAGCCCUUGUUCAAUGACACUAAAGGAAGAUAGAAGACUUCAGGAGAAAAUGCAAGCCUAUCUCUAUUAGCUGUGGUGCAACGGCCGAAGCAGCAACUCCAAGGUGAUUUGGUGUUCUGCAGUGUAACUUGAACAUUUAGUCUUAAACAAAUGAAUAGCCUGAAAGCAGAGAAUCAAUAGUUCUCUGAGAACAGUGUUUGCAUUUUCCUUCCGAUUAUGGCAUUCUCCCAAUAACUUAGAUUUCCUUUAAUGACAGUGAUCUUGGGCAGCUUCAGAUGCUCUGACCCAGUGCCCAACCAGAUCUUAUUAAAACUUUUGUUAUUUGUGUACACUACAGUUUAUGUGCUAUCUGCAUAAUGUCCCUUUUCCUGGUAGGAAGAAAAUCACAGACAAAUGCGUUAGAAUGUAUUAUGUUAUAAUUCAUGUCUAAGAAAUUUUGAGGUAUUUGGUUCUAAAACACCUUGUACUAAUUUCUCAGUUAUCCCAGUACUUCCUCAAACCUCCUUAAAUGUUAUGAUUUUGGUCCCUACCAAGCAAGGUUAUCAAUGACUCUGUGAUUUCUUCUAAUAGGCAAAAUGCAAUAGGUAUAUUAAAAUAUAAGCCUAAGUCAUUUACAGCUUGACUUGUAUGGCUUUUGAUUCCUUUUGAACACCUGUCGACACGUACCAGUGGACACCCUGAAUCUCAAGUGGUGAGAAUAGCACAUGGUUCAAGUGGACCUCUGCCAACUCUGCUGCCAGAGUCCCAGUACAGUGGAUGGUUAAAACCACAUAUGGUUCAACCAGAUUCUAUGGGGCAGAAUGGGAAAGACAGACUUCUGGGCCUGUCAUAGAACAAAGAUCCAACCAGACAGCCAUUUUCAGGGCUGCCAAGAGUAUUAUUCAGAGAGAUGUGCACAGCAAUAAGAGACAGGCAAGUUACCCAUUUUGAGAUCCAAGAAAACGAAGUUUGUCAGCUAUGCACCCCAUGCCAUGGUAAUAGGUAAGCUCUUUGGUCGCAUUUUCAAGGAGAUGUGUUUGCUUGCUUUAGCCUCUAUUCCAAUCUCCUGAUUGCAAUUUAAGAGAAAUGAAAAAAUCUAGCCUGGCCUCAUAUUUAUUCAAUUUUUUUUUUUUUUUUUUUUAGGGCCAUACUCAUGGCAUAUGGAGGUUCCCAGGCUGGGGUCUAAUUGGAGCUACAGCUGCUGGCCUACACCACAGUCACAGCAAUGCCAGAUUCAAGCCACAUUUGCAUCAUACACCACAGCUCAUGGCAAUGCAGGAUCCUGAACCCACUGAGCGAGGCCAGGGAUUGAACCCGCAACGUCAUGGUUCCUAGUCAGAUUCAUUUCCACUGAGCCACAAUAGGACCUCCUUCAUUCAAAAUUUGAUGCUUAAAAGGUAGGAAAAUAGUGGAGUAUUGUCCAAUAUAAAAAGAAUAAAUUGGACUUAAAAUUUUCUUUUACCA
rnacentral:lncRNA from 1 species